ACCGCAAAUGAAAAGAAUAUAAGUCAAAGUUGAAGGCCGACUGGAAGCGCGAGGGUAUGACAGAGGAGGAGGUUGCUCGUGUUUGUCCUCCUGGUGUAUACCAUCAUCAGUGGAGGGAGCUUGUUCACUAUUGGUUUUCCGAGAGAGGACAGACAUAUUCUGACAUUGGUCGAGCCGCACGAGCAUCUCAGACAAUUCCUCACACUUCAGGCUCGAGAGUUAUGCGAGGCUCAGAGCUGAAUUCAUGGAAGACCAUGGGAGGAAACCUGGUGAGGUGGAGUUCUAUAAGAUGACUCACACCCACCGAGAUGGCAGCUUUGUCCGAGACGAGUCGAGAGAUAUAGUUGACAGAGCUACAUCCCUUAUUUCAGAGCGUAUCGGAGAGUCAUCUUCAAUCGGCAACACCAGAGGUGUCGAAGCUCAGGUGUUUACCGAGUUGAUGGGCUCGGAGCGUUAUGGACGAGUGAGGGGUUAUGGUGUUGGAGUUACCCCACUCAGUUGUCUGCAGUGGGUAGAUAUACUCAAGAUGUUAGACAGAGUAGUAGCACUGCAGAGGUUAAUGAUCUGAAGGCAGAGAUAAAAGAGUUGAAGUAGAGCCACCAGACAGAGAUGCAAUCUUUGAGGGCUCAGAUUAAUCAGAUUACAUCUUUGUUGCAUCAGUUUGUCCCUCCUCAGGUUCCUGAUAGUUCAUCUGCACGUAGAGAUGGUGAUGCUAGCGACCCCUGAAGCAUUUAUUUUGGAGUUUAUAUGUAUUUUUUUAUGCUUUUUGAAGUACAUUGUUUUGUACUUCCUAAAUGCUGUCUUGUUGCUCUUCUCUUCUACCCUUGAACUGGAGUUUUGGCCUUCACUAUUAUCAAAUGGGUUGGUGAUGCUACUGA